GAUGAACGCUGGCGGCGUGCCUAAUACAUGCAAGUCGAGCGAACGGACGAGAAGCUUGCUUUUCUGAUGUUAGCGGCGGACGGGUGAGUAACACGUGGAUAACCUACCUAUAAGACUGGGAUAACUUCGGGAAACCGGAGCUAAUACCGGAUAAUAUUUUGAACCGCAUGGUUCAAAAGUGAAAGACGGUCUUGCUGUCACUUAUAGAUGGAUCCGCGCUGCAUUAGCUAGUUGGUAAGGUAACGGCUUACCAAGGCAACGAUGCAUAGCCGACCUGAGAGGGUGAUCGGCCACACUGGAACUGAGACACGGUCCAGACUCCUACGGGAGGCAGCAGUAGGGAAUCUUCCGCAAUGGGCGAAAGCCUGACGGAGCAACGCCGCGUGAGUGAUGAAGGUCUUCGGAUCGUAAAACUCUGUUAUUAGGGGAGAACAUAUGUGUAAGUAACUGUGCACAUCUGGACGGUACCUAAUCAGAAAGCCACGGCUAACUACGU
rnacentral:rRNA from 1 species